AGAUCCGUGAAACCGGGCACGGGAACCACGUCCACACGUCCCGGGUCCGGGCCACCUCCUCCUCUGUUUCUUUGGGGCUCUCCUCUCGCUUCCUUCCACUCCACUCCGCCCUCCUCGCGCCCCGCCCCGCCCAUCCCGACGCCACCGCCCACCCCUCUCCCCUCUCCCCUCUCCCUAGAAAACAAACCCCCGCCAUCACCGACCACGCCAUCGCCACCGGAUUGCCUCGGAGGAUGACGACGCCCAUGGCCUCGCUCGACCCCUCGCUCGCCACCGCCGCCAGGCCGCGCCUCGCCGCCCCGCCGCCGCCGCCCUCCGCCGCGGGCGCGGGCGCGCUGCGUCGCGGCGCCGUCCUCCAGCGGGGACGGCAGCGGCGCGGCAGGUUCUCGUGCCGCGCGGGACCCGCCGCCUCGGAGAUAACAAAGGAGAAAAACAGAGCAGACCCUUCAAAGUCGGGUUCGGUGCUGCUCCGGGUUUGUCUAGAGCACCAGGUUAAGUAUGGCGAGCAUGUUUGUAUUAUAGGUUCGACAAAGGAGCUUGGGGCAUGGAAGCAACACGUCGAGCUGGAUUGGACAGCGGAUGGCUGGGUCUGCCAGCUUGAGCUCCCUGGCGAAGCAGCUGCGGAGUUCAAGUUUGUGAUUGUCUCAAAAGGAGGAAAGGAGAAAACAUGGGAGGGUGGUAACAACCGUGCUAUCGAGCUGCCAAAAGGUGGUACACUUGAUAUAGUAUGCAACUGGGAUAGGACAGAAGAGCCCUUAGGUCUUUCGGGAACACCAAAGGCUGAUAGAGCAGCUAAAUCUGUUGUGCCACAAACGGCUGGAGAUGUUUCAGUCGCCGAUUUAGCACCGGAGACUGGCUCGAGCACAUUUGGUGGGCAAUGGCAAGGUAGCGAAGCUGUUUUCAUGAGGUCAAAUGAGCAUCGGAAUAAGUCGAGUGACAGGAUGUGGGAUACAGCUGGGCUUGGUGGAAUGGCACUGAAAUUGGUCGAGGGUGAUAAAUCGUCUAAGAACUGGUGGCAGAAGUUAGAUCUUGUUCGCCGGCUUGUGUCAGAACCUGUUGAUGACCAAAGUAGUAGAUUGGAGGCUCUUAUAUGCUCUGCUAUUUAUUUAAAGUGGAUUUAUACAGGUCAGAUAUCUUGUUCCGAAGAUGGUGGUCAUUACCGACCCAACAAACAUGCUGAGAUAUCAAGGCAAAUUUUCCGUGAAAUUGAGAAGAUGUACUACAGAAAAGGCAUAUCACCUGAGGAUGUGCUUGUGAUUCGCAAAAUUCAUCCUUGUUUACCUUCAUUUAAGUCGGAGUUUACUGCUACUGUCCCUCUGACACGAAUUCGUGACAUUGCUCAUCGCAAUGACAUCCCACAUGAGCUCAAGCAAGAAAUCAAGCAUACCAUACAAAACAAGCUUCACCGAAGUGCUGGCCCUGAGGAUCUCGUUGCUACAGAAGCCAUGCUUACUAGGAUUACAAAGAAUCCUGGAGAAUACAAUGACGCUUUUGUUGAACAAUUCAAAAUAUUUUAUAGCGAACUAAAAGACUUCUUUAAUGCCGGCAGCCUGUUUGAACAACUGGAAUCCAUCAAGGAAUCUUUGAAUGAUUCUGGCUUAGAAGCACUGUCAUCAUUUGUCAAAACCAAACAGAGUUUGGACCAAGCGGAUGCUGCGAACAUUCAAGUUGUGAUGAAGACCUUGCAGUCAUUGUCUUCAUUGAGAUCAGUUCUAAUGAAGGGCCUUGAAAGUGGCCUUAGAAAUGACGCGACUGAUGCCGGUGUAGCAAUGCGACAAAAGUGGCGCCUUUGUGAGAUUGGUCUUGAGGAUUAUUCUUUUGUUUUGUUAAGCAGAUAUAUCAAUGGUCUUGAAGCUUCAGGUGGAUCAGCUUCACUUGCACAAUGUGUGGCUGGAAAUACAAGUGUAUGGGACGACACCCUUGAUGCCCUUAUUAUUGGCGUCAAUCAAGUUAGCUUUUCAGGUUGGAAGCCAGAGGAAUGCAUUGCUAUAGGGAAUGAGCUUCUUUUUUGGAAGAAGGAAGGUCUAUGUGAAAGUGAAGGCAGUGAAGAUGGCAAGUAUAUUUGGGCACUAAGACUUAAAGCUACACUUGAUAGAGCAAGGAGAUUAACGGAAGAGUAUUCUGAAGCACUUCUUUCUGUAUUCCCUGAAAAUGUCAAGGUCCUUGGGAAUGCCCUUGGAAUACCAGAGAACAGUGUGAGAACUUACACCGAGGCUGAAAUUCGUGCUGGUGUUAUUUUUCAGGUCUCCAAACUUUGCACUGUACUUUUGAAAGCUGUUCGAGUAGUAAUUGGAUCGUCUGGCUGGGAUGUUCUUGUUCCUGGAGUAGCCCAUGGAGCUCUGAUACAGGUAGAAAGAAUCAUUCCUGGAUCAUUGCCUUCAUCCAUCAAAGGACCUGUGGUUCUACUUGUAAAUAAGGCUGAUGGAGAUGAAGAGGUCAAAGCUGCUGGCGAUAAUAUAGUGGGUGUUAUUCUUCUGCAAGAGUUACCUCACCUAUCACAUCUUGGUGUUAGAGCUCGUCAAGAGCAAGUUGUAUUUGUAACUUGUGAAGAUGAUGACAAAAUUGCAGAUAUGAGGUUGCUUGAGGGAAAACAUGUCAGGUUGGGAGCAUCAUCCAGUGAUGUUGAGUUGUCAGUUUCUGAUGGAAAUGCCAGCGACAUAUCUUCAGAGCCAUCCAUUAUACAGAAACCAUCAAAUUUGUUCUCUUCACCACUGGCUACGGACGACUUGUCGAACGUGUCUGAGCCCAAAAGCUAUACUUCAGGAGAAAAUGGUAGUUCCAGUGUUCUGGAGCUUGCAGAAGCAUCAGUUGAAUCAUCUGGUGCUAAAGCUAAAGCUUGUGGAACUCUUUCUGUGCUGGCCUCACUGUCAAAUAAAGUCUACAACGAUCAAGGAAUUCCAGCGGCAUUCAAAGUUCCUUCUGGGGCUGUGCUUCCAUUUGGAUCAAUGGAGGAUGCGCUCAAGAAAAGUGGAUCACUUGAAUCGUUUACAAGCCUUCUAGACAAGAUUGAGACAGCUGAAAUCGAAAAUGGCGAACUUGACACCCUAUCAUCCGAGCUACAAGCAACAGUCUCACUGCUUUCACCAACCGAAGAUGCCAUCAAGUCUCUGAAAACAAUCUUCCCUCAGGAUGGCCGGCUUAUCGUCAGGUCCAGCGCUAAUGUGGAGGACCUGGCCGGGAUGUCAGCUGCGGGGCUUUACGAGUCCAUCCCCAAUGUGAGCCUCUCGGACCCAACCAACUUCGGGUCUGCAGUAGCGCGGGUCUGGGCCUCGCUGUACACUCGGAGGGCCAUCCUCAGCCGCCGGGUGGCUGGCGUGCCCCAGAGGGACGCCAAGAUGGCUGUCCUGGUGCAGGAGAUGCUGGAGCCAGAGCUAUCCUUCGUGCUCCACACGGUCAGCCCCUCGGACCACGACACCAGGGUCGUCGAGGCUGAGGUUGCCCCGGGGCUGGGCGAGACCCUUGCCGCUGGCACCCGCGGCACCCCGUGGCGUCUCUCCUGCGACAAGUUCGACACCGACGUCGCCACCCUGGCCUUCGCCAACUUCAGUGAGGAGAUGCGGGUGCUCGGCUCGGGCCCCGCCGACGGCGAGGUGGUGAGGCUCACUGUCGACUACAGCACGAAGCUGCUCUCCGUCGACAGGACCUUCAGGCAGAAGUUCGGUCAGCGGCUGGCCGCCGUGGGGCAGUACCUGGAGCAGAGGUUCGGGAGCGCCCAGGACGUGGAGGGCUGCAUGGUCGGGGAAGACAUCUACAUAGUGCAGAGCAGGCCACAGCCGCUGUAGAGUCAUCCGUAAUAAUGUUUAGAUGAGCAAAGUUUUGGUUGGUGAAAUAAAAUUUGCCGAAAAUCCCAUGGCAAAAUAAGUCAGUGUAAGUUUUAUAUAUGGCGUAUAUGAGAAGAGCAGAAAGGGCAUGAGGAACUCUGCGAACAUUAAGGGCUCCUUUGAUUCAAGACGAAGUCGUAGGAUUUUUGUAGGAUUUCAACCCGUAGGUGUAUUUUUCGUCGUAGGGUUGAAGUCCUUAGGAAUUUGCACUGCAUUGUAUUUUGGGGGAAAAUUUUCCAACCGCUCAAAACAUAUUUUUUACAAUUCCUUUGUCGUUU